rnacentral:rRNA from 1 species
UACGAAGGGGGCUAGCGUUGUUCGGAAUUACUGGGCGUAAAGCGCACGUAGGCGGACUAUUAAGUCAGGGGUGAAAUCCCGGGGCUCAACCCCCGGAAUUGCACCUCAAACUACAUGGCUAGAGCAUUGGAGAGGGUAGCGGAAUUCACGGUGUAGCAGUGAAAUGCGUAGAUAUCGGGAGGAACACCAGUGGCGAAGGCGACUUCCUGGCCUGUUCUUGACGCUGAGGCGCGAAAGCUAGGGUAGCAAACGGGG